UAGGGAAUCUUCGGCAAUGGACGAAAGUCUGACCGAGCAACGCCGCGUGAGUGAAGAAGGUUUUCGGAUCGUAAAACUCUGUUGUUAGAGAAGAACAAGGACGUUAGUAACUGAACGUCCCCUGACGGUAUCUAACCAGAAAGCCACGGCUAACUACGUGCCAGCAGCCGCGGUAAUACGUAGGUGGCAAGCGUUGUCCGGAUUUAUUGGGCGUAAAGCGAGCGCAGGCGGUUUCUUAAGUCUGAUGUGAAAGCCCCCGGCUCAACCGGGGAGGGUCAUUGGAAACUGGGGGACUUGAGUGCAGAAGAGGAGAGUGGAAUUCCAUGUGUAGCGGUGAAAUGCGUAGAUAUAUGGAGGAACACCAGUGGCGAAGGCGGCUCUCUGGUCUGUAACUGACGCUGAGGCUUGAAAGCGUGGGGAGCAAACAGG
rnacentral:rRNA from 1 species